GCCGGGCGCGGUGGCGCGCGCCUGUAGUCCCAGCUACUCGGGAGGCUGAGGCCGGAGGAUCGCUUGAGUCCAGGAGUUCUGGGCUGUCGUGCGCUAUGCCGAUCGGGUGUCCGCACUAAGUUCGGCAUCAAUAUGGUGACCUCCCGGGAGCGGGGGACCACCAGGUUGCCUAAGGAGGGGUGAACCGGCCCAGGUCGGAAACGGAGCAGGUCAAAACUCCCGUGCUGAUCAGUAGUGGGAUCGCGCCUGUGAAUAGCCACUGCACUCCAGCCUGGGCAACAUAGCGAGACCCUGUCUC
rnacentral:SRP_RNA from 14 species